UGUCAUGACCCUGGCAUUAAGGAUGGUCCUUCAAAAGAGUCCUUAAACCUUCUACAUGUAUACACAUGCUGGCCUCAGGUUUCUCACUCGCCCUCAGGACACCGAGGGCAGCCAACUUUUGAGACCCUCUGUCCACGGGCGUGAGCUCCUUCGGGGAUGCCUGGCGGCCUGUGAGGUCACAUUGUAUCACCCGGGGUUGCCCUGGCAACCAGAACCCCAGGGUUGCAGUCAGCUGCGGCCUGAGGCCCCUCCUCUCUCCUCCAGUGGGUUGAUCAGCCCCGCUGGAAGCCAUCAGAGCUAAUGACUCCCACACUGCAGAUGAACCUGGGAUUUUCUCCGCUGGGUCUGGAGCCCUGGGGCCUGUGGAGAAGGAGGAAAAGAAGAAGAUCGAGGAGGAAGAGGUGGGGCUGGCCAGGGCUCCUGAACUCCUCUCAGGGACCAGGGUGGACAAGGGGGGCCUUCACAUGAUGACCACCAGGAGACCUCCUUGAUCACUGGAGGAUGACAAUGGCGCGUGUACCCUCCCAGGCAUCUUGUGAGAAGCAGAAGAAAAAGCCAAGCCUCCUGCCAAGCCGAGGCCAGCCAGCCAUUCCCCACAGUCCGGACCACAGCUCUCUGCCUGACCAGGAAAGCAUCUUGAAGUGACCAAUCUGCUUUGUGUUCGCUGCUUCUCCUUCCUUUGGCCCUUUGCACUUUUUGAACCCAGCUCAUCCGCCCAGCCCACCCAAACACCCAAUCCUUUUCGUGGGAUGAAGUUUUGCCUGAGUCUAGAACAGCAAGUAAAGAUAA